AUUGAACGCUGGCGGCAGGCCUAACACAUGCAAGUCGAGCGGAUGAAGGGAGCUUGCUCCUGGAUUCAGCGGCGGACGGGUGAGUAAUGCCUAGGAAUCUGCCUGGUAGUGGGGGAUAACGUCCGGAAACGGGCGCUAAUACCGCAUACGUCCUGAGGGAGAAAGUGGGGGAUCUUCGGACCUCACGCUAUCAGAUGAGCCUAGGUCGGAUUAGCUAGUUGGUGGGGUAAAGGCCUACCAAGGCGACGAUCCGUAACUGGUCUGAGAGGAUGAUCAGUCACACUGGAACUGAGACACGGUCCAGACUCCUACGGGAGGCAGCAGUGGGGAAUAUUGGACAAUGGGCGAAAGCCUGAUCCAGCCAUGCCGCGUGUGUCAAGAAGGUCUUCGGAUUGUAAAGCACUUUAAGUUGGGAGGAAGGGCAGUAAGUUAAUACCUUGCUGUUUUGACGUUACCAACAGAAUAAGCACCGGCUAACUUCGUG
rnacentral:rRNA from 1 species